rnacentral:rRNA from 11 species
CAGUUGCUUAGUUGAACUGCAGCACGAAUGCGGGUUCCUAGUGGGCCAUUUUUGGUAAGCAGAACUGGCGAUGAGGGCUGAACCUAACGCGAGGAUAAGGCGACCCACUGGCGGCUCAUAGAUACCAGAAAAGGUGUUAGUUCAUUUAGACAGUAGGACGGUGGCCAUGGAAGUCGGAACCCGCUAAGGAGUGUGUAACAACUCACCUAC